GAUGAACGCUGGCGGCGUGCCUAUUACAUGCAAGUCGAGCGAACAGACGAGGAGCUUGCUCCUCUGACGUUAGCGGCGGACGGGUGAGUAACACGUGGAUAACCUACCUAUAAGACUGGGAUAACUUCGGGAAACCGGAGCUAAUACCGGAUAAUAUAUUGAACCGCAUGGUUCAAUAGUGAAAGACGGUUUUGCUGUCACUUAUAGAUGGAUCCGCGCCGCAUUAGCUAGUUGGUAAGGUAACGGCUUACCAAGGCAACGAUGCGUAGCCGACCUGAGAGGGUGAUCGGCCACACUGGAACUGAGACACGGUCCAGACUCCUACGGGAGGCAGCAGUAGGGAAUCUUCCGCAAUGGGCGAAAGCUUGACGGAGCAACGCCGCGUGAGUGAUGAAGGUCUUCGGAUCGUAAAACUCUGUUAUUAGGGAAGAACAAAUGUGUAAGUAACUAUGCACGUCUUGACGGUACCUAAUCAGAAAGCCACGGCUAACUACGUG
rnacentral:rRNA from 1 species